GCCGGGCAUGGUGGCGGGCGCCUGUAAUCCCAGCUACCUGGGAGGCUGAGGCAGAAGAAUUGCUUGAACCUGGGAGGUGGAGGGUGCAGUGAGCCGAGAUCAUGCCACUGUACUCCAGCCUGGGUGACAGAGCAAGACUCUGUCUCUA
ensembl:misc_RNA Metazoa_SRP Metazoan signal recognition particle RNA